UGCGCGCUGCGUGCUCUAGUUCCUGUAGCGAGCUGAGCUGGAGUUCCGCAGCUGGUAAUUAGGCGCUCUCGGGUCCUCUCCCGCCAUACAGCUAUCGAGCUUUUCUAGAGGAAGAGCUGAUGAAAAGAGUCACAGCUGAAUAGUGGAGAGAAAAAGCCCGGUAUUUAUUGCUUUUGUUUGGCUUUUGGCUACAGAGACAGGAACCUUCUAAUGGGUGUUUCAGCACUAGAAGCAAUGCUUAAAAUUGAAGAAUGGUGCAUUAUUGAAACUCUCUAUCAAACAGCUCUGGGGUGCAGCCUUUCUGAAAACGCCGGCUCUCGAUGAGGUCUGACUGUCUGACUGCACAUAAGCCCCUAAUAUGUUAAUGGCCGUAGGGGAUGCCUAAGGUACUAUCUCAAGCUGCUUCGCACACCAUAUGUCAGGCCGUUAGCCACAUGGAUCUAUUAAUCAA